rnacentral:tmRNA from 1 species
GGGGCUGAUUCUGGAUUCGACGGGAUUUGCGAAACCCAAGGUGCAUGCCGAGGGGCGGUUGGCCUCGUAAAAAGCCGCAAAAGAUAGUCGCAAACGACGAAAACUACGCUUUAGCAGCUUAAUAACCUGCUUAGAGCCCUCUCUCCCUAGCCUCCGCUCUUAGGACGGGGAUCAAGAGAGGUCAAACCCAAAAGAGAUCGCGUGGAAGCCCUGCCUGGGGUUGAAGCGUUAAAACUUAAUCAGGCUAGUUUGUUAGUGGCGUGUCCGUCCGCAGCUGGCAAGCGAAUGUAAAGACUGACUAAGCAUGUAGUACCGAGGACGUAGGAAUUUCGGACGCGGGUUCAACUCCCGCCAGCUCCACCA